rnacentral:misc_RNA from 1 species
GAUGAAGAACGCAGUGAAAUGCGAUAAGUAAUGUGAAUUGCAGAAUUCAGUGAAUCAUCGAAUCUUUGAACGCACAUUGCGCCCCUUGGUAUUCCGAGGGGCAUGCCUGUUCGAGCGUCAUUUCAACCCUCAAGCACAGCUUGGUCUUGGGCUUCGCCGCUAACCCGGCGGGUCUUAAAAUCAGUGGCGGUGCCGUCGGGCCCUGAGCGCAGUAAUUUCUCUCGCUAUAGGGUCCCGGCGGAUGCUGGCCAGUAACCCCCAAUUUUCUAUGGUUGACCUCGGAUCAGGUAGGGAUACCCGCUGAACUUAAGCAUAUCAAUAAGCGGAGGA